CAGUUGUGGCAUGCAGCAGCAUUGCCUCUUUUUCAGUUCAUAUAAGGUAAAAGAAAAGGGUUUUCCAAAGGAAGCAGCACAGAAAAGUAUUCAAAAGGCCCACAUAAUUUAUAAAAUUCCAGAGUUGUAGCCCUGAUCCUCAGCGACAGUAUUUAUAUUCAGGAAGAAAAAAUUGAGGCUCUGUCCAUUUCCAACAGGUGUGACUCAACAGCCGAGCAGUGACAAUAGAGGUGUGACCACCCACGAUUCUGUCUUAAUGGGCAAGGAGCCAGGACUAACUAAGAGGGCAGCCAAUACACAUCACCAGGUCAAAAGUUGUAUUUUCUGAAUGAUCAUGGCAGCGGAAGCCUGUGGGGCCUAAAGGAAUACUCCUGUCAUGUUUCAGCAGGCAAAGUUUAUUUUUUUCAAAUGUAGCUUUUUGGGGCCUCUUCAAAGCUGCCUCUUCCUCAUAGCUUUUACUAAAAAUUACAAUCAGGUCCUGAUGGCAUCACCGUGCAUGUGUCAAAAAUGACCUGCCAACUCCAAGGUUGCAAAAUGAAUUGGGUAAUUUUAACUACCCACUUGCCUGGCUACGUAGAACUAAAAUAAACUCCUUUGUCCUUGUGGCUGCUACAAAAUUUGAAUCACCCUUUCUUUAUGUUUAAUGAGACAAAUUUGUCUUUUUAUGAUAAUUAAACCUGUAUGCAUAAAGAAGAGUUAUUCUACAAUAGUGUAAAUACUGGAUGGCUUGCAGACUGGUUAAUGCCAGACACUAUAAUAUCCAAUAGAACAUGUUAUCAACAGGAGAUUUUGACAGCAGUUUAUUUUUGUUUAAAAUUCUCCUCCCAUCAUCUGAAUCUUUUUCAAUGGUGAUCUUACUCAAUGAUUAAAGAGCUAAAUUUCCCCAUUGUAGGCCUCUAGAAUGAACAAUGGAGCAUAAGGCCUCACACGUGAAUCAGCCAGAGGUGCAGUGCUGCAUCUCUGGUCAGUUGUGAGUCUGAGAUGAAGCACUGUAGCUCUGGAGGAUGAACACUGCAGCAAUGGCCUUGAACAUAGAGUGGGACAGCACCACAUAGAAUGAAGGUAAUGUGUAGACUUCUGUUGCAUUUAUAAAGUUCACUUGUAUAGUUGGCAGGCUUUUCAUUUUUGCUUUAGCCAAAGAUCUUGACACAAGUGUCAUUAAUUAUAUAUUUAUUAUUGAAUAGCAAAAUAAAGCUAUGAUCCCAUGAAAGAAUUUUCUUAUGAAUUUUAUUUAAUUAAAAAUAAACAGUUAUCAUUAUGCUUGUACAGCAUUGUCAAAUGCAUAACUUGAAAAUUGCAUUUAAAAAGAAAAACAAUUUGAUGAUAUGAGCAUUAUAUUCUUUUUAUUGUAGGCUUCUAAAAGUCUACAGAUUGAGAUUUUAAGAAUUAUUUAUGCUGAGGAAGAGUUGCCCCUAUUUUUUAUGUACAAAACCAUUAAAACAAAUAUGUCCAAACAACAGUCAGACUUCAUUAGUACGAACCCAUGGGAAAAUGAAAAAUAUUCCAUAUCUGGAGGUCAUCGUCUCAUGGUUCAAUCCUUUUUCCUGUCCAUAAUUGAGCUUCUGCUGGAACCAGAGAAAAUAUUUGCUGCAAGAAGAAAUUUGCAAAAAUAAUUUGCAUGAAUGAGAUUCUGGCAUAGCAGUUUAUGCUGAAAGAACGUGAAUGUAAUAUACUAUGCUCCAUGAGAGAAUAUUAUGGUUUCAUUCUGAAAACAGCCAGUCUGUUUAACUUAAAUAGGAUGUCACUCACUAUUGCCAUGGGAGGCUGGCAAUCUGUAGCAAUCAAUUCUGAAUGUUAUUCUUCCCAUGGUAUCAUUAUAUUGUAUAUCUUUCAUCUCUUUAAUUAAUGGCGUCACAGCUGCAAUAUCUCAGAAUUUAAGAUUACUACAGGAUUCUUAACCAAUCAGGAGCAUCAUAAGAGAGGUGUCAAGUAGCUGAUAGGUGGAGUUACUUGGGUCACAUCCUGAAGUAUAAAGGGUCAGCUUUCUAAUGAGGCAACUCCCAAUCCAUUUCCUAGUCUCAUGCCAGGCAUUCCAUUAAUCAAACUGGAAACUCAAAAUUCAAAGUAAUCUCAGUGCGAUUGCAAAGCACUCUCACCAAAAAAGAAUAUUUCCAGUACUGUCUUUGCAUAGUUUGUUAGAGAAAGAAAAUAAAAAGGAGUUUAAGAAAAGAUUGUUCUGCUUUAAAACAACUUCAGCAAGGUAAUUACCACUUUGAAUGUAAUAAAAUUGAUGUAUGAUAAUGACAAAUCUUAAUAACCACUUCACUCCUCUGAGAACUCAACCACCAACAUGCAAGAUGAAAAAUAAAAAAAAACUCUUGUAAUUGUUUUUAUUACUUCUGCUAAGGAAAUUAACAAAUUCAAAUUUAUAAUAUAUGCAUCAGAUUUUGCAAAGUUAUUACUAUUUGGGCCAAAUAUAUUGCUUUUUCUGUCUUGCAAACCAGGUGAUUAAUUGCCUGCCUGAAAUACUAGGAAAUUAAAAGCAAAAAUGUUGAAAGUCUGGAAAUAAAGUAGAGAUUGCUAAAAGUGUGAAGCAACUUAGCAACUGAAAGAGAAAUACUGGUUAACAUUUUCGGGUGAACAUUAUCAGAAUCCAGAACAUGUAAAUAUCUUUCUCUUUAAAAUGUUGAUUGACUUGCUACUGUGCAUUUCUACCAUUUUCCCUUUCUAUUUUAGGGAUAUAAAGGUAUAUUUUGUGAAGCAGGGUUCCCUGGGAGGAGCUUCACUCAACAGGAGUAUCAGUCAGGGAACUGGGAAUGAAGGUCAAGAUGUACAAUUCACUCUACUUCCAAUCUUCCUGUAUCAGUUUUAGGAAGGGAGUCACCUUCACCAGGGAUUCUCUGAUCCGUGCUUCUGUCAAAUGAAGAUCCUUGCCAAAAGUGAAGCCUCAGAAAACUUUCCCUAUAUAUUAGCAUAGAGAAUUCAGCACAGUUUAUAAUAUGCUUCAUUGGGGUGUGUGUUUCUGAUAAGAUCCUGGAGUUUCCAUUUGUAAAUAAAUGCUUUCUUAACAAUAAUCUUACAGUUGCUAAUAUAUUUUACACAAAAGCUACAGCAUGGCUUUUGCCUGGUAUAAAUGUUCAGAUCUUGAAUAUUGCUGAAAAAAGACUAACUAAACAACAUCCAUUCCCUGGUUCUUUCACCAUGGCAGUGCCGUGAUCAAUCAGUGUUGACCUGCCCGGUUUGAAUUUGAACAAAAGCUUAGGAGUUAACUGUUUCCUGUGGAUCUUCCAUGGAAACACCUUUACCAAUCAGAGUCCACUCGCCAACCAAUCAGCAAUCUCUUCUCAUGCAGAAUAAAUUGUUGUUCCCUUUACAACAUGUAUUCUUGCAAACUGUCCUGAUGAGUGCAUGACAAAAAGCUUCAAUAUCGUGUCCCUUUUUUCAGAAAUACUCAAGUUCUGGACAACUAAACCACUAAAGGUUCAAAUCCUUAUCCAUUUUGCCAGUUUUGUUUACAUAUUUCCUAAAGAAAUCUACAAAGGGAGUGUUGUCAGACUUUCUAUUCUAUAGGUAAUGAGAAAUGAAAUGCAGCAUAGUGUUUCUCUUGAGAAUGUCUUGUCUCUCCACACACCAUCACUUCCGAUCUUCCACUGACCUUCUCCUCAGGGUCCAGUUUUCCCAGGAAUCCCUUCUGUACUGAUAAGGGGAUUCCUGGAAAUACUGUUCUUGGGGCCAAGGCUUGGCAGCUGUUUAACAAGAAGAUGAACAACCUGGGAAUUCAUAGAAGCCUCUGGAUUACUGUGGAAAAAUUAGCACUUUUGAAUUAUAUUUCGGAGAAUACACUCAGAAUAUGUAAACCUAAUUUGAUACAUAAAUAAAAAACAAUUAUGAAUUA